rnacentral:lncRNA from 1 species
AGAGGCAGGAUUGGGUUCCUCCAGGCAGAUAUGUCAGAAGGACAAUGUGCAGAGUGUAUUGGUGAGAGAUGGACUGAGCUAUCACUUUGCUCUGUGCCUGGUGCUGGAGACAUUGAAAUAAAAGAUACAAGUGCUGCCCACAGGAAACUCACAGACCAGUGCGGGGAGAAGGGGGCAGGCCUGUGAGCCCAUCUACAGAACAAAAUGCCCCCCGGUGAGGCUGCUCAGUGGGGCUCCCUGAUCCACAGAAGACCUGGGGGCUCCAGGAAGGAUGAGGGGACCAAGAAGCGACCUACAUUCUAACCAGGGCAGGCAGCAGAGGUGGCAGGAAGGGGAAGGGCUCUAAGCACCCCUGCUCCUGCACAGAAAUCCACUUGCCUGAGAAGUUGUGGACUAAGGAAAACUAAGGACUUUUCCAGACGAAAACUGGCUGAAGAGACCUGAGAACUUGAUGCAAAGCAUGAUCCCAGAUUGGACCUGGAUUGUGGGGAGACGUAGUUCACAAGGGACUGUUUGGGGCGAUUGGCAACGUGUGAAUAUGGACUAUGGAUUGGAAAACAGCAUUGGAUGAACGUCAAAUUUCCUGAUUUUGCUUGCUGUUCUGUGGCUACAUAAGAGAACAUUCUUGUUCUUAAAAAAUACACACUGACGUAUUUAGGAAGUAUUCAGGAACAUGAUGUCUGCAACUCACUUUUGAAUAGUCCAGGAAAAUACAUACGUAUAUUAAAUAUGACAGGGGAUGGAGAAUGAUAACACAAAAGGGGGAAAAUAUUAACAGUUGGUGAAUCUGGAUAAAGUGUUCCUUGAACAUGAGUUCUUUGAACUAUUCUUGAAACUUUCAUGUAAAUUGGAAAUUAUAUCAAUUUAAAGCUUAAAAAGAAACAAAGGCAAGCCCAGGGUUGGAUUCUGUGGAUCGCAAACUCAGGGUGAGAAUAAACCAAACUUUGUGAGGUAGCAACAGAACCAAUACUGGAUUUGUUUAUUUUUUAAAAGUCAUCAUCUAUGGAAGGUUGACUUAAUGUAUCCUCCAAAUAUUAAUAGUUACUGACAACCACGUGUUUUUGUUUAUGCUAUCAUUUUAACAGAGUUUACGUUACAUAUUGAUUAUUGACCAGAAGCUUCCAGAAUGAGGAUCACCUGGGAGCAAUUUUCCCUGAGCGUCCUCGUUUGGUUAUGCAAACUUACGGCAGCAAGGAGAAUCUCAUUGCUUUUGGAGAGGGUGCAACAUACAUGUGCGCUGUGUGGCUUGAUGAAAGCUGGCCCUCCUGGGACUCCUUGGUAUGCCGAGCUUUAGGGAGGGGAAACCAUUUCACAUAAGCAGCCAAAAGCCUUGGGAGGGCAGGGACUACAGACAUUAAAAGCUGAGAAAACCUGGCAGGGUGACAGGAAAGGACAAGAACUCCAAGGGCGAAGGCAAACUCAUCCGGGGGAGGAGGUCUGGGUUUAAUGCAAGAGCCUAAGGCUCUGCUGUGUAUGGAAAGGGGGUAGAGACUCUGCAACAGCAUGGAGCU